UUACGGCCGCAUCAAGAUGAAACACCGGUUCCCGUGAGAUCACCGAAGUUAAGAAACGUUCAGUACCUAGAUGGGCGACCACUUGGGAAUACGAGGUGCUGUAAG